rnacentral:rRNA from 1 species
UACGUAGGGUGCAAGCGUUGUCCGGAAUUAUUGGGCGUAAAGAGCUCGUAGGCGGUCUGUCGCGUCGGCUGUGAAAACUCGGGGCUCAACUCCGAGCUUGCAGUCGAUACGGGCAGGCUAGAGUGCGGUAGAGGGUAGCGGAAUUCCCGGUGUAGCGGUGAAAUGCGUAGAGAUCGGGAGGAACACCAGUGGCGAAGGCGGCUACCUGGACCAGCACUGACACUGAGGCACGAAAGCGUGGGGAGCAAACAGG